UAAUACGUUUAUUGAUGUCAAAGGGAUACGACGCACAUUCGUCAGAAGAUAGUUCUACUUCAGAAAUGUGUGAAAGUAUCGCUGUUUGACAUUUAUAACCAUAUUUAUUUUAAAUGUGUAUACAUAUUAAAUAUCUGUGCAUGGAUCUAAUACUACCUAAUGAUGACAUCUAACUUCUGUGCUGUUCUGUUCCGAUAUUUCCUGCAAUUUAUGUUGAGUGAAUAUAUCACUAGAGAGUUGAAGAGAUGUUUCGAUGAAGUCGGAUUGCAUGGAUCUCCGAAAACCAGAGGUUCCGAAGUAGCUGAUCAUCACUUUGUGUUUCGUAUUCCAUUUACAAAGACAAAAUUGAACUCAGUUCCAAAUCUGAAAACAACAGGACAGCACGUACCACGGCGAUUGGUAUACCAGUUGUGGGGCACAGAAUGAGACAGAAAAAGCCCAGUCAGAGAAUGCGUCCACCAAGAAGAUUCGAUCCAAAGAUCCAAGCACCUCAAGCGAGUGCUCUACCGACUGAACUAGAGCUCGCCCCUGGACAUGCUAAUGAUUAACACACUUGCAGCGUGUUAUGCAUUGAAUCUACUUAGCGCCGAUCGCGAGGGACGGGACCGAUUGUUCUCGGUUAAACCACUCAGCACUGAACAUGAUGGACAUUCAUGCAGUUAAACGAAUACUAUGUGACCAGUACUUACAAAAAUGGAAUAGUGAUAAAUUUGACUCAUCGAAAGGUAUUAACUACAGAAUGUUCAAGCAUGAAUUUAAAUUAGAAAAUUAUUUGUUGAAACUCAACAAAAAAUGCUAGAAUUCUUUGUAAAUUUAGAACUGGAAAUGUCAGACUUCCUAUUGAAACCGGUAGAUGGUUUAAUAUUGAGAGAGAAAACAGAAUAUGUCACUUGUGCAACACUGAUGUUGGUGAUGAGUUUCACUAUAUUUUUAAAUGUACGUCUUUAUCUACUGAUCGAAAUGUGUAUAUACCUAGUUACUAUACCAAUAGAGCAAGUGCAAUUACCUUUUACCAGUUAUUUUCUACAAUUAAAAAAUCACUUUUGUGUAAACUAUGUAAAUAUUUGCAAAUUGUCAUUGAGAGGGUCAGUCUUCCGGGUUAAUAUUACUUAAAUAGUAUGUCCAUUACCAAAACAGAAAACACUUUGUAACUUAUUUUGUUUAUAUUUUCUCCAUACUGCACUCGGUGCAGUUUAUGAGAAUAAAAUUCUUGUCU